AGUGAACGCUGGCGGUAGGCCUAACACAUGCAAGUCGAACGGCAGCACAGUAAGAGCUUGCUCUUACGGGUGGCGAGUGGCGGACGGGUGAGGAAUACAUCGGAAUCUACUUUUUCGUGGGGGAUAACGUAGGGAAACUUACGCUAAUACCGCAUACGACCUACGGGUGAAAGCAGGGGAUAUUCGGACCUUGCGCGAUUGGAUGAGCCGAUGUCGGAUUAGCUAGUUGGCGGGGUAAAGGCCCACCAAGGCGACGAUCCGUAGCUGGUCUGAGAGGAUGAUCAGCCACACUGGAACUGAGACACGGUCCAGACUCCUACGGGAGGCAGCAGUGGGGAAUAUUGGACAAAGGGCGCAAGCCUGAUCCAGCCAUACCGCGUGGGUGAAGAAGGCCUUCGGGUUGUAAAGCCCUUUUGUUGGGAAAGAAAAGCAGCAGGUUAAUACCCCGCUGUUCUGACGGUACCCAAAGAAUAAGCACCGGCUAACUUCGUG
rnacentral:rRNA from 1 species